rnacentral:rRNA from 1 species
UAUGAAUGGAGUUUUGGGGGUUUAUUAUCCUUUUUAUUGAAAUUAUACCUUUGUUGAAAAUAACAAUAUUUUUUCUAAGACAAAAAGACCCUAGAAUUUUUAUAAUUUCUUAUUUAGUUGGGGCAACAUUUUAAAUAAUAUUUCUAUUUUUUCUUAUGUAGGAACUUUUAAUAAGGAUAACUUAGAAAAUACUCUAGGG